rnacentral:rRNA from 1 species
UUGACCUCAAAUCAGGCGGGACUACCCGCUGAACUUAAGCAUAUCAAUAAGCGGAGGAAAAGAAACUAACAAGGAUUCCCCUAGUAACUGCGAGUGAAGCGGGAUGAGCUCAAAUUUAAAAUCUGGCGUCUUCGGCGUCCGAGUUGUAAUUUAGAGAAGCGUUUUCCGCGCCGGACCGUGUACAAGUCUCCUGGAACGGAGCGUCAUAGAGGGUGAGAAUCCCGUCUUUGACACGGACCCCCGGUGCUCUGUGAUACGCUCUCGAAGAGUCGAGUUGUUUGGGAAUGCAGCUCAAAAUGGGUGGUGAACUCCAUCUAAAGCUAAAUAUUGGCGAGAGACCGAUAGCGAACAAGUACCGUGAGGGAAAGAUGAAAAGCACUUUGGAAAGAGAGUGAAACAGUACGUGAAAUUGUUGAAAGGGAAACGCUUGAAGUCAGUCGCGUCCGCCAGGAUUCAGCCUCACGGUGUACUUUCUGGUGGACGGGCCAGCAUCACUUUCAAUCAUCGGAAAAGGUCGAGGGGAAUGUGGCACCUUCGGGUGUGUUAUAGCCCCUUGUCGUAUACGGUGACUGGGAGUGAGGACCGCCUUUUGUAGGAUGCUGGCGUAAUGGCUUUAAACGACCCGUCUUGAAACACGGACCAAGGAGUCUAACAUGCCCGCGAGUGUUCGGGUGGAAAACCCGUGCGCGUAAUGAAAGUGAAAGUUGGGAAGGCUGUCGCGGCCUGCACCGACGCCCGGACUUGA